rnacentral:rRNA from 1 species
AGUGAACGCUGGCGGUAGGCCUAACACAUGCAAGUCGAACGGCAGCACAGUAAGAGCUUGCUCUUACGGGUGGCGAGUGGCGGACGGGUGAGGAAUACAUCGGAAUCUACUUUUUCGUGGGGGAUAACGUAGGGAAACUUACGCUAAUACCGCAUACGACCUACGGGUGAAAGCAGGGGAUCUUCGGACCUUGGCCGAUUGAAGGGGCCGAGGUCGGAUUAGCUAGUUGGCGGGGUAAAGGCCCACCAAGGCGACGAUCCGUAGCUGGUCUGAGAGGAUGAUCAGCCACACUGGAACUGAGACACGGUCCAGACUCCUACGGGAGGCAGCAGUGGGGAAUAUUGGACAAUGGGCGCAAGCCUGAUCCAGCCAUACCGCGUGGGUGAAGAAGGCCUUCGGGUUGUAAAGCCCUUUUGUUGGGAAAGAAAAGCAGCAGGUUAAUACCCCGCUGUUCUGACGGUACCCAAAGAAUAAGCACCGGCUAACUUCGUG